UAAUAUAAAUAUACUGUACCGCAGACAGUAGGUGCGAAUUUCGCAUAACGUAUACAACCUACCGAGGUCUAUUCAAAUGGAUGGAUGUAUUAUGCCACUUUGCCUGCGGAAAGAGCAAAGUGGUAUUUUUAUUUAUGU
rfam:Epulopiscium sp. AS2M-Bin002 AS2M_MBin02_83, whole genome shotgun sequence.